rnacentral:rRNA from 1 species
UACGUAGGGUGCGAGCGUUGUCCGGAAUUAUUGGGCGUAAAGAGCUCGUAGGCGGUGUGUCACGUCGUUCGUGAAAACCUGCAGCUUAACUGUGGGCGUGCGGUCGAUACGGGCAUCACUGGAGUUCGGCAGGGGAGACUGGAAUUCCUGGUGUAGCGGUGAAAUGCGCAGAUAUCAGGAGGAACACCAGUGGCGAAGGCGGCUUUCUGGUCUGCUCUUGACGCUGAGGCGCGAAAGCUAGGGUAGCAAACGGG